CCCUCCCCCCUAUCUCCAAUUAAAAGACAUGUUAAGUGGAAGGUUGCUCGCACCAAGGCUUAUGACAAUAUGACAUCUAGUCGGCACAGGAAAUAUCAGAUAAAAUAGACUCGUUAGAAGAGCAGGUUACACAAGGUAGCUUUGUACCCUAUGGUUGUGACGACAUACUCAACACUGCCAUUGGGCGACCUGACCAUGGGGGUCACGUUCGUGCAGCAGGGUCAGGUGUGACUAUUACUCAGUACUAUGGAAGGGCAUCAUGUACAUGCAGUAACUCGUCCACAUCCAUCAACCAACAACAAUUAGAUGAAGUUCUUGCAAGGAUUAAGGAAGACAUGAGUAGUUAGAUUAGGGAAGAAUUGAGGAGUCAGCUAGAAGAGGAAAACAAGAAGAGCUUGGAAAAAAUGACUAUGGCAUUGAAAGAGACCAUUAAAAUAGAGUUGUCACAAAAAGGAUCCCCGGGCUUACCCCCAAUUGAGCUGGACAUACAACAAUUAGGUGCUCGUGUCAGCAUAAAGGGAAGUAAUGCUGAAACCAAUGUGCACCCUUCAGGGGAAGAUGAUGCUGAUGUCAUACCAAGUAUGGGAUUGUAUGUGCAACGUUAUGAUCGUACACACUUGGUGGCAUUGAGAAAAAUAUUACAGGGGGGUUCCACCAUACACAGUGUGGCUUAUGCAUAUGAUGUGGUAAGGGUCAGUGUUGAAAAAGUCAUCGAUGCUAACGCUGAAGUUCUGUAUCCCACCUCAAAAAUUUAGUAUGUCAGGCAGGCCCUUGACACAUUCAUUACAUGGCCCACACAGCUUGUCAAAGUUGUAUCACAUGAGGAUGCACAAAUUACUCCAUACAAAGUGGCUGCACAUGUGCCAACACCGACUAAUGUGGACGCAGAUGAUUCGAUGCGUGGGAUGAUAAAGUUGAGUUUUGAUAUUUACGACAAGCCAAUAGAAAUCAAGUUUGAUGGGAGUAAAUUUGGAAUUGUAGAUGGAGCUACAUCGAUAUUCCUAACAUAUUCUGAUGUUAGUGAAAUAAUAGCAAGUGACAAAAGUUUGAACAUAUCUGUACAACAAUUAUGGAUGAUGUAAGUCAAAUCCUUAUUUUAUUUGUUCCUUAUUCAAUCUAUAUACAUGAUCCAGUCCAUUAAUUUCAAAUGUCAUCAAUAGGUAUAUGGAUGAGUGGAGUCAAAGCUUGGGUCAUGGUUUCGUGUAUGCAUUCCUUGAGCCACAACCCUUGAACAUUUCAAAGGAUAGACGUGAUGAAUGCCAACAAUAUAUUGAAAGAUAGCUUAAGGAAUCCCAACGAGAGGUGUACCUCGGAGCUUACUUCACAUCAAUAAGUGAUGUUUAACAAUAAUACUUUAACCGAUGUUUGUGUUAUACGUAUGUAAUGUGCAUGAAAUGCAGGGCAUAUUGGCAACUGGUAGUUUUGUGUCCUAGGCAACAUGAUGUUGUUUGGUUGUGUUCGUUACGUAUAAAACCUGAUAUUCAUAUCAAAGCCGCAAUUAACAGGUUAAAUCAUAACAUAUAACUUU